rnacentral:rRNA from 1 species
UUAAGCGACUAAGCGUACACGGUGGAUGCCCUGGCAGUCAGAGGCGAUGAAGGACGUGCUAAUCUGCGAUAAGCGUCGGUAAGGUGAUAUGAACCGUUAUAACCGGCGAUUUCCGAAUGGGGAAACCCAGUGUGAUUCGUCACACUAUCAUUAACUGAAUCCAUAGGUUAAUGAGGCGAACCGGGGGAACUGAAACAUCUAAGUACCCCGAGGAAAAGAAAUCAACCGAGAUUCCCCCAGUAGCGGCGAGCGAACGGGGAGCAGCCCAGAGUCUGAAUCAGCUUGUGUGUUAGUGGAACGGUCUGGAAAGUCCGACGGUACAGGGUGAUAGUCCCGUACACCAAAAUGCACAGGUUGUGAACUCGAAGAGUAGGGCGGGACACGUGGUAUCCUGUCUGAAUAUGGGGGGACCAUCCUCCAAGGCUAAAUACUCCUGACUGACCGAUAGUGAACCAGUACCGUGAGGGAAAGGCGAAAAGAACCCCGGCGAGGGGAGUGAAAAAGAACCUGAAACCGUGUACGUACAAGCAGUGGGAGCACGCUUAGGCGUGUGACUGCGUACCUUUUGUAUAAUGGGUCAGCGACUUAUAUUCUGUAGCAAGGUUAACCGUAUAGGGGAGCCGCAGGGAAACCGAGUCUUAACUGGGCGUUAAGUUGCAGGGUAUAGACCCGAAACCCGGUGAUCUAGCCAUGGGCAGGUUGAAGGUUGGGUAACACUAACUGGAGGACCGAACCGACUAAUGUUGAAAAAUUAGCGGAUGACUUGUGGCUGGGGGUGAAAGGCCAAUCAAACCGGGAGAUAGCUGGUUCUCCCCGAAAGCUAUUUAGGUAGCGCCUCGUGAAUUCAUCUCCGGGGGUAGAGCACUGUUUCGGCAAGGGGGUCAUCCCGACUUACCAACCCGAUGCAAACUGCGAAUACCGGAGAAUGUUAUCACGGGAGACACACGGCGGGUGCUAACGUCCGUCGUGAAGAGGGAAACAACCCAGACCGCCAGCUAAGGUCCCAAAGUCAUGGUUAAGUGGGAAACGAUGUGGGAAGGCCCAGACAGCCAGGAUGUUGGCUUAGAAGCAGCCAUCAUUUAAAGAAAGCGUAAUAGCUCACUGGUCGAGUCGGCCUGCGCGGAAGAUGUAACGGGGCUAAACCAUGCACCGAAGCUGCGGCAGCGACGCUGAUGCGUUGUUGGGUAGGGGAGCGUUCUGUAAGCCUGCGAAGGUGUGCUGUGAGGCAUGCUGGAGGUAUCAGAAGUGCGAAUGCUGACAUAAGUAACGAUAAAGCGGGUGAAAAGCCCGCUCGCCGGAAGACCAAGGGUUCCUGUCCAACGUUAAUCGGGGCAGGGUGAGUCGACCCCUAAGGCGAGGCCGAAAGGCGUAGUCGAUGGGAAACAGGUUAAUAUUCCUGUACUUGGUGUUACUGCGAAGGGGGGACGGAGAAGGCUAUGUUAGCCGGGCGACGGUUGUCCCGGUUUAAGCAUGUAGGCUGGUUAUCCAGGCAAAUCCGGAUAAUCAAGGCUGAGGUGUGAUGACGAGGCACUACGGUGCUGAAGCAACAAAUGCCCUGCUUCCAGGAAAAGCCUCUAAGCAUCAGGUAACAUCAAAUCGUACCCCAAACCGACACAGGUGGUCAGGUAGAGAAUACCAAGGCGCUUGAGAGAACUCGGGUGAAGGAACUAGGCAAAAUGGUGCCGUAACUUCGGGAGAAGGCACGCUGGUGUGUAGGUGAAGUCCCUGCGGAUGGAGCUGAGACCAGUCGAAGAUACCAGCUGGCUGCAACUGUUUAUUAAAAACACAGCACUGUGCAAACACGAAAGUGGACGUAUACGGUGUGACGCCUGCCCGGUGCCGGAAGGUUAAUUGAUGGGGUUAGCGGUAACGCGAAGCUCUUGAUCGAAGCCCCGGUAAACGGCGGCCGUAACUAUAACGGUCCUAAGGUAGCGAAAUUCCUUGUCGGGUAAGUUCCGACCUGCACGAAUGGCGUAAUGAUGGCCAGGCUGUCUCCACCCGAGACUCAGUGAAAUUGAACUCGCUGUGAAGAUGCAGUGUACCCGCGGCAAGACGGAAAGACCCCGUGAACCUUUACUAUAGCUUGACACUGAACAUUGAGCCUUGAUGUGUAGGAUAGGUGGGAGGCUUUGAAGUGUGGACGCCAGUCUGCAUGGAGCCGACCUUGAAAUACCACCCUUUAAUGUUUGAUGUUCUAACGUUGACCCGUAAUCCGGGUUGCGGACAGUGUCUGGUGGGUAGUUUGACUGGGGCGGUCUCCUCCUAAAGAGUAACGGAGGAGCACGAAGGUUGGCUAAUCCUGGUCGGACAUCAGGAGGUUAGUGCAAUGGCAUAAGCCAGCUUGACUGCGAGCGUGACGGCGCGAGCAGGUGCGAAAGCAGGUCAUAGUGAUCCGGUGGUUCUGAAUGGAAGGGCCAUCGCUCAACGGAUAAAAGGUACUCCGGGGAUAACAGGCUGAUACCGCCCAAGAGUUCAUAUCGACGGCGGUGUUUGGCACCUCGAUGUCGGCUCAUCACAUCCUGGGGCUGAAGUAGGUCCCAAGGGUAUGGCUGUUCGCCAUUUAAAGUGGUACGCGAGCUGGGUUUAGAACGUCGUGAGACAGUUCGGUCCCUAUCUGCCGUGGGCGCUGGAGAAUUGAGGGGGGCUGCUCCUAGUACGAGAGGACCGGAGUGGACGCAUCACUGGUGUUCGGGUUGUCAUGCCAAUGGCACUGCCCGGUAGCUAAAUGCGGAAGAGAUAAGUGCUGAAAGCAUCUAAGCACGAAACUUGCCCCGAGAUGAGUUCUCCCUGACCCUUUAAGGGUCCUGAAGGAACGUUGAAGACGACGACGUUGAUAGGCCGGGUGUGUAAGCGCAGCGAUGCGUUGAGCUAACCGGUACUAAUGAACCGUGAGGCUUAACCUU